rnacentral:lncRNA from 1 species
AGCUUGUAUUGCUAAAUCAUCUAUUAUGUCCAUCGAAACAUCAGAGAAGUUUUUUUUGGUAUCUCAUCUUUUUUGCUUUCUCCAUUUGCAAGAGAGUUUUGAUCCAUUUGAUGAUGAUAGAGAGAUUUUUUUCUGAGUGAAAAUCUCUGUAACUUGUUGGAGCGAAUCCAUCAUGUUUUGUAUAUUAUAAGUGAAUGUCACAAAGAAAGUCUUUGGAUGUUAAUGUUUUUUUUUGAAAGUGCAAUACUUUAAGGAAGUACUUCAACCUAGAAACAGUCUCAUAUUCUAUCGCCUGAGGAAGCAAUGAUGUUGCUGUUACCUUUUGGAAUUGAACAUGAGACAUGCAUAUUCCUUUAUUCUUUUGGUUUUUUAUUUAAACUAAGAAUCGGAGAAGACAUGUUGUUUUCUACCCAACUGCAUGUUGCUACAAGGAGUGGCUAGUGUUAGGUGUGACAAUGGAGAUUUUUCUGGGUGAUAAUCUCCUUAACUUGUUGGAGCAAACCAAUCAUGUUUGUAAAUUCCUAAGUAAACGUCACAUAGAAAGUCUUUGGGUGUUGAUGGUUCUUUUAGAAAGUUCAACCUUUUAGAAAGUUCCUCCACUUGAUGGCAGUCUCAUAUUCCAGCGCCUGGAGAAGCAGCAUCACUGCCAUUACCUUUCGGGACUGGCCAUGAGACAUACAUACACCUCUAUUCUUUUUUUUU